GACGAACGCUGGCGGCGUGCUUAACACAUGCAAGUCGAACGGUAAGGCCCUUCGGGGUACACGAGUGGCGAACGGGUGAGUAACGCGUGAGUAACCUGCCCUUGACUCUGGGAUAACAGAUGGAAACGUCUGCUAAUACCGGAUACUCAGCCUUGUGGGCAUCCACAGGGUUGGAAAGCUCCGGCGGUCAAGGAUGGACUCGCGUCCUAUCAGCUAGUUGGUGGGGUAAUGGCCUACCAAGGCGACGACGGGUAGCCGGCCUGAGAGGGCGACCGGCCACAUUGGGACUGAGAUACGGCCCAGACUCCUACGGGAGGCAGCAGUGGGGAAUAUUGCACAAUGGGCGCAAGCCUGAUGCAGCAACGCCGCGUGCGGGAUGACGGCCUUCGGUUGUAAACCGCUUUCAGCAGGGACGAAGGCGCAAGUGACGGUACCUGCAGAAGAAGCACCGGCUAACUACGUGCCAGCAGCCGCGGUAAAACGUAGCAUG
rnacentral:rRNA from 1 species